UCAACAUUCAGUGUUUGUUCUGUUGCACAAGAGAAGUGCUGCGAACCCAGACGGGCUCCACUGGUGGGGGCUGCACCGAGGAAAGCCGCAGCACCACGCACCGGGGGCUCGAGCAGGGCGCAGCGCUCCCAGCUCCCAGCCCCUCAGCGGGGCAGCGACUCGGAGGAGGAGGAGAACUUGGAAAGCCACUCUGAGGGCACGCAAGCAGCGUUAGAACUCAUUCAAGUCAUCCUUGGCUGUCCUUCAGGCCACGUGUAGCCAAAUUCUUUGAAUUUUUUUCUCUGGAAACCGUGCUUGGCCAUCAGGUGCCUCCGCUGCCAGCUCUGGAGAGGGCUGGAGGGCCCGGCCGGCUGCACGGGCUGCGGUGCAGCUCUCCCACGAGUCUCCCUCUUGGAGAGCAAGAGAAACCCCAUCCUCCCUGCAGCACCCGGAGCACUCGAGCUGCCAGGCGAGGCCGGGCUGUGAGGGGCAGGAAGCAGCUUUGCACCGCGUGUGGAGGCCUCCGUGAGUGCUGCGGCCCGAGCACAGCCGCCUUACAGAUAUUUUCUCCUGGCUUACACGGAAGAGCUGACAUCCAGCACAGCCAGCCCGGUCAGGACAGCAGCACCACGGGGUUUCUGAACCUGAUUAAUGAAGUCAGUUUCAGAGACAAACACGGUGUUUAGCUGGCGAGGCAAACAGGCAUUAUCUCGUGUGUGUGAGGAGCCUUUCUGCAUCCCUGCUCACAUCACCCUCAGCACCUCCAGGACCUGCAGCGUUCGUCUGCUGCGCCUACCAGCCCUGGCAAUGCAUUAUUAAUGCCGGAAACUGCUGUGUGCGACGCGCCUGAAGUCAGCCUGACCUGUGAUUACAGCCGGUGGAAAAACAGGCAGCUGGCUGAGGAGAGGCAGCUCCCUCCUGGAAGGUGAAGCCACGGGGCGAGCCCAGCAGCGGGGUGAAGCAGCCCGGCAGGACGCAGGGCCUUUGUCCUCUGCUGCUCUUUGAUCUCCCUGCAAUCCAGUUUGCCGCUCUGGAGAAACAGAUGCUCUGCACAAAUAGCUUUGCAAACAGUGCCAUAUCUGCUCGGCUAAGUUAUCUCCCUGACCCCGGACACAUGUCUGCUCAGUAAUUGAUGACUCUUUCUCCUCCUGGAAUGCUGCUCAGAUUCCUCCCGUGCGCUGAAGGCAGGAAAGCGCCCGGCGCUCUGAAUUUUAAUUGGAGCUGACAGAUAAGGAAACCAGAGGGAGGGCGAGGGCGAGGUCCAGCAGGAAGCUCUCCUCCCUGCUGCUCCCUGGUGCUUUCCCUGAGGCCACCCAGGGCUGGACAGGGCCCUUGCGGCUCUGCUGCUCCUUGCUCAGGUGCAGCCAAGGUGGGGCUGCAGCCCUGCCCUCACUGCCACUGCUCCCUUCAGCCCUGCCCUCGCUGCCACUGCGCCCUUUGGCCCUGCCCUCGCUGCUGCUGUUCCCUGGGGACCUGCAGGACGGCGUGGGGAAAAUCCCGGCAGCCUGCUGCAGGCCCGUGGCAGCCCCGCCUCAGAGACCUGUUACAUCUGAUGAUUAAAAUCAGAGCUGGUCAAAAACUCGGUAUUUCUGUUCCAUGGGAGAUUGUGACAUAUUUUGAAAAGAGCUGUGAAUUUCUAGCAUUCGUAUUUGCUAUUCAGUACGUUGAGUCAAAAUAUUAAUUUUUUCACAUUGAAUGGUGUUAAAACAAAAAAUGCUAGAACAUGGCAGCGUUUCAAGAUGUUGACAACGUUUCACUCCAAAAUGUUCCUGUAAAUAGGGAAGACUAGACAAAGUAUGCCAUAUUACUCCAUAAAAGUAACCUAUGAUCAUCAGCAAAGCUAACAGGAAAUAAAAGCCCUCCCAACCACCACUUCGUUCUACACUGUAAGUCUUUGGAAUUUUCCUUAUUUAACCCUCUUUUUAAAGGACUGAAAAUUUUCACAACUUUUUCUUUUUUUU